rnacentral:rRNA from 1 species
GCUUUUUCUACAAUCUAGUGGCAAAUGGGUGAGUAACGCGUAAACAACCUGCCCUACGGAUGGGGACAACAGCUGGAAACGGCUGCUAAUACCGAAUACGUUCCGAAAGUCGCAUGACUGUCGGAAGAAAGGAUGGCCUCUAUUUAUAAGCUAUCGCCGGAGGAGGGGUUUGCGUCUGAUUAGCUAGUUGGAGGGGUAACGGCCCACCAAGGCGACGAUCAGUAGCCGGUCUGAGAGGAUGAACGGCCACAUUGGAACUGAGACACGGUCCAGACUCCUACGGGAGGCAGCAGUAGGGAAUCUUCCGCAAUGGGCGAAAGCCUGACGGAGCAACGCCGCGUGAGUGAUGAAGGUCUUAGGAUCGUAAAACUCUGUUAUUAGGGAAGAACAAACGUGUAAGUAACUGUGCACGUCUUGACGGUACCUAAUCAGAAAGCCACGGCUAACUACGUGCCAGCAGCCGCGGUAAUACGUAGGUGGCAAGCGUUAUCCGGAAUUAUUGGGCGUAAAGCGCGCGUAGGCGGUUUUUUAAGUCUGAUGUGAAAGCCCACGGCUCAACCGUGGAGGGUCAUUGGAAACUGGAAAACUUGAGUGCAGAAGAGGAAAGUGGAAUUCCAUGUGUAGCGGUGAAAUGCGCAGAGAUAUGGAGGAACACCAGUGGCGAAGGCGACUUUCUGGUCUGUAACUGACGCUGAUGUGC